UACGAAGGGGGCUAGCGUUGUUCGGAAUUACUGGGCGUAAAGGGCGCGUAGGCGGCUUCGCUAGUCGGGCGUGAAAUGCCUGGGCUUAACCCGGGAAUUGCGCUCGAUACCUCGAGGCUAGAGUGUGGGAGAGGUUGGUGGAAUUCCCAGUGUAGAGGUGAAAUUCGUAGAUAUUGGGAAGAACACCGGUGGCGAAGGCGGCCAACUGGACCACAACUGACGCUGAGGCGCGAAAGCGUGGGGAGCAAACAGG
rnacentral:rRNA from 1 species